rnacentral:tRNA from 1 species
AGGGAUGUGGCUCAGUGGUAGAGCAUUUGCCUAGCAUGAUCAAUGAUCCUGAGUUCAAUCCCCAGUAUCACAU